UGGUGGAGUGAUUUGUCUGGUUAAUUCCGAUAACGAACGAGACCUUAACCUGCUAAAUAGUUAGGCUAACCUCUGGUUGGUCGUCAACUUCUUAGAGGGACUAUCAGCGUUUAGCUGAUGGAAGUUUGAGGCAAUAACA
rnacentral:rRNA from 1 species